CCUACGGGUGGCAGCAGUGGGGAAUAUUGCACAAUGGGCGCAAGCCUGAUGCAGCCAUGCCGCGUGUGUGAAGAAGGCCUUCGGGUUGUAAAGCACUUUCAGCGGGGAGGAAGGCGCUAAGGUUAAUAACCUUGUCGAUUGACGUUACCCGCAGAAGAAGCACCGGCUAACUCCGUGCCAGCAGCCGCGGUAAUACGGAGGGUGCAAGCGUUAAUCGGAAUUACUGGGCGUAAAGCGCACGCAGGCGGUCUGUCAAGUCGGAUGUGAAAUCCCCGGGCUCAACCUGGGAACUACAUUCGAAACUGGCAGGCUAGAGUCUUGUAGAGGGGGGUAGAAUUCCAGGUGUAGCGGUGAAAUGCGUCGAGAUCUGGAGGAAUACCGGUGGCGAAGGCGGCCCCCUGGACAAAGACUGACGCUCAGGUGCGAAAGCGUGGGGAGCAAACAGGAUUAGAUACCCCGGUAGUC
rnacentral:rRNA from 1 species